AUUUAUAAUCUGGCACCUUCGGUGUCCGAGUUGUAAUCUCUAGAAAUGUUUUCCGCGUUGGACCGCACACAAGUCUGUUGGAAUACAGCGGCAUAGUGGUGAGACCCCCGUAUAUGGUGCGGACGCCCAGCGCUUUGUGAUACAUUUUCGAAGAGUCGAGUUGUUUGGGAAUGCAGCUCAAAUUGGGUGGUAAAUUCCAUCUAAAGCUAAAUAUUGGCGAGAGACCGAUAGCGAACAAGUACCGUGAGGGAAAGAUGAAAAGCACUUUGGAAAGAGAGUUAACAGUACGUGAAAUUGUUGGAAGGGAAACGCUUGAAGUCAGACUUGCUUGCUGAGCAAUCGGUUUGCAGGCCAGCAUCAGUUUUCCGGGAUGGAUAAUGGUAGAGAGAAGGUAGCAGUUUCGGCUGUGUUAUAGCUCUCUGCUGGAUACAUCUUGGGGGACUGAGGAACGCAGUGUGCCUUUGGCGGGGGUUUCGACCUCUUCACACUUAGGAUGCUGGUGGAAUGGCUUUAAACGACCCGUCUU
rnacentral:rRNA from 1 species